UGACAGGCACAGUUCCGAGGAAAAGAAUUUGCACUAGAGCAUCCCACCAGCACAGACGCAUUGCUGUAGCCCAAACCAGAGCUCAGCUGUGUUAUUUACACUGCGAGGUCCCAGCUGUCAACCUGGCCUGGCAGCACGACAGCCUACAGCGCAAAUGCCCUUAGCCAGCUGCUUGGCUCAAUUUACAAUUCACUCUUUUUUAAUGAGAUUAGCAUUCAUCAAAUGUGCUAGCUUGAUGGGCACGACGAUUUAAGUCCUCUGUUUAGUCAGGCUACAGCAGAUACAGCAGUCACUUUUAAAAAAGACGCAAUUUGAAGAGAAACCAUGAAUUCACCAGAGCUUCUGCAGUUGCUCAUUAAUCACGGGAAGAAGAGGGGUUUCUUAUAGAUCCGUUGAGAACAGAGCACUGGAAAGGAUGAAUCUUGAAAUUGUGUUCUGAAUACCAGCACCAGAUUCUGUCCUGGUGUCCCUGGAACACCUGGACAUUUUCUUAAGAUUUCUCCUAAGUCUGCCGUGAAGCAACUGCAGGCAGAACUGGGGAUCCUGGCCUAUGCUCCAGCACUGGCAGAAGUUACCUCUUGUCAUUGCAGUAUUUUCAGGGACUCCUGAAUGUCUUCAGCUUAUGGAUAGAAGGAUUGGGAAACCUCAGGUGUGAGACAGCUGAUGGACGAUGGACAACAUGGAUGCUGCCGAGGGAGGGGCACGAAGACCUGCUCUGGCGAGAGUUGGAUGAAUUCAGCUCCCAGACCGUGAGAAAUACGAAGACUCUGUACCCAUUCCGGUACCAAGUUCACCAUUGGAUGAUAUGGAUCAUGUCCCCAUGGCUCCCUGGCCAGAAGUCUUCAGAUGCAACCAUUUGUGGGAAAUUUUUUGGCAGAGAUGCUCUAUCCUGCAUGGGAGAUAUGUUGGCAAAUGUCCAGAAAUGAAGAUGCAUUUAUCAUAAACCUGGAGAUGCUAGAGACAUGAGGGACUUAGUGGUCCCUAAGACUAUCUCUUGAGGCAGCGUUCCUGCAAAAUCCAUUAUUCUUUCCACGUCUUUGUCACAGCUAGUGAAUCUUUUGCUCUAUCUUAAAAAAGCUUGGUGAUAUUUCCUUUGCCUUCCUUUCUAGAGGUAAAAGAGGCAAUAGGAGACCCAGGCUGUUUUCAGCCCAUGCCUAAUAUGGGAAAAAUCAGAAGGCUCCAAACGUUUCACCAGAGCAGUUUUCUCUCAGGUCUAAUCAGUAAGAAUGAGAAAAGAAGAUAUGGCUUUGCCAUAGCCUGCUGGGUCCAUUGUUUUUCUUUGUUAGCAAACUACAAUAUCUAUGUUCACAGCAUAAGAAUGCAGCCAACAAAUCGUAGACAUACCAUAUAUUUCAUGGGUUUAGCAACCCAUAAAAGUUGAGAGUAGCAUCUGAUUUAUCUCGGCAAAUGGCUCCAGCUGUUCUUGGGAACAUAUUUUUUUAAUCAAAGGAGGUGUUCCCUAAAUUAAGUCUUGAUUCGAAUCUCCUUGUCCAGGGAUAUAUUUACAAAACUAUUUGUAAAAUAUUAUCUACUUCAUAAAAACAUUUUGAAUGCUUUGUUAAUGCAGUGUGGUGGGACUUUCCUGUAAUCAUUGUUUCUUCCCAAAGGAAACCGACAUGAUGAUUAGUAAUUGCUGGAUUAUCAAACAGUGCACAAGCUCAUUUUCUGGCCUAAGCAAGUUAUUACAGUUCCAUAAAUGCUUAGCCACAUACAUUAUUCUACUAUACCAACCUAUUACUAAAGAGACCACUGAGGAGAGGACACACGACCCGUAGAGGGACAGAGGAAUAUUUACUUUCCUGAAUGCUGCGGUGUUUUACUUGCUUGCUGUGUGUGGUGUUGCUUCUUUCAGGUGUGAAUGCAAUGGAUGCAUGGCCCCCACGUCCCACAACAUCUUGAUACGGGGAUAAUGACAAGUGAUGAUGUUAUACAAAUACGUGAAGUUCAGCUUGGCCUGGUUUUAAAUAGUGAGGUCAACCUUUGCUCAUCUGCGACCAUCCAGCACGGCUGUUUUAUGGUCCCUCCCUGUUCACUCUCCUACCAACUUUCCUUUUGUCCCUGAAGCCUAAAUCCCGAUAUGACACAGAGAUGAAAAAUCUGCAGGCUGGUGUCCAUUGGAAAAAAAGCCUAUUGGUCUUCACAGGCCUCUGUAAAUCACUAGAUGACCUUCUUUCUUCCAGAAAGGAAAUCGAAGGAAGAGCAUGACAAAUACAUAUUUUUGACUGGUUAAUAUCUAAUUUUAACUACUAGGUGACUGUAUUGGAAAGACAAGGCAGAGGUUUUUUAGAGGGAUUUUUUUUUUCCAGUGGAAAAUGCUGGUUUGACAAAAAUGAAAUUUUUUACUGGUGCUUAUGGCUUUCAUUAAAAUAUUUGCCAAAAAUGUUGAAAUAUUCUGUUCUC